UAGGACCAAAAAAGGUUCUCUGCAAAAGGAAAAGUACAAAGAAAUGUGAUCUAGACAUUGAACAAUACAAUUCUGAUCGGGAAUUUAAAGUACCCCGUGAUGAAUCCACAGAUGUAGAUGAUUCUGAAUCAGAAAUGGAAACAUCUAGACCUAGUAAAUCAAAUCCACCUUUGAAAAAACAAAGAAUGCAAUGGAAACCAGAGCAACGCAAUGCAAUAGAAGAUUUGAUUUUGCCUGCUGUCAUAAAACACAAGAAGCCACCAAGGAAGGAUUUAGUUCUGAAAACCCAAAAGCAGUCAACUGUUUAAAAAAUGUCCAUUGGAAACAGAUCAAAUACAAUGCUUGGGCAAUGUUUCAACAGUAUAAGAAAAAACAAAAAGAAAUAACAGCAAAAUUACUGAAACAUUAGACACCAUCAUAUGUAUUAUAUAUAUGUGUUAAUAGAGGAGAACAGAAGUGCCUUCUUCACCAGGUAGUCAUGACUUACAAAAUUGGACUUUGUAGAUAUUUAUAACUCGACUCAUGAAAGCUUUGUUUGCUUUUGUGAUACGUCCAUUAAAGUUCAGAGUAUAAUGCAUCUGUCUAUCUGUUCAUCAGUUUUUUUAAUUAAGUCACUGGAUGAUACUUGCAUCAUGUACACAGCUAGGAGCUGGUUUUUUUUUACUGCUGUGCAAUCAGAAGAUAUCUGUUUUCUACUUCACUUGCCUCACACCUCAUUUCAUAGGUAUUGAAAAUAGGUACUUAUGAUGAACGCCUACCAAAAUUGCCUGGGAAUCAAUGACAGGAUGUCUUAGAUAAACGUGUAUAUCAAUUCUUGAAACAUGUAAAUAUCAUAUUUUCAAUUGGGGUGACUGUUUAGGAUCAUGGUCCUUUUGCUUUCAGAAACAAUUACAGUGUAAAAGGAACAUUGUACAAUCGGUUUUGAUUGAUAAUCUCUUAAUUAAGUGCAAAAUGUCUUCAUGUUUCAGGUCAAUUUCAUGUGAACAUUUUCAGGUCAAAUUGACAUCAAGACAUUUUGCCUGUGUAUUAAAGUCAGUUCACACAGGUGUCUGUUUUGACAAGAGCAUUUGUCAAAUUAUA